rnacentral:misc_RNA from 1 species
GAAAUGCGAUAAGUAAUGUGAAUUGCAGAAUUCAGUGAAUCAUCGAAUCUUUGAACGCACAUUGCGCCCGCCAGUAUUCUGGCGGGCAUGCCUGUCCGAGCGUCAUUUCAACCAUCAAGCCCCCGGGCUUGUGUUGGGGACCUGCGGCUGCCCGCAGGCCCUGAAAACCAGUGGCGGGCUCGCUGUCACACCGAGCGUAGUAGCAAUCACCUCGCUCAGGGCGUGCUGCGGGUUCCGGCCGUUAAACAGCCUUACAAAACCCAAGGUUGACCUCGGAUCAGGUAGGAAUACCCGCUGAACUUAGGC